rnacentral:rRNA from 1 species
AGUGAACGCUGGCGGUAGGCCUAACACAUGCAAGUCGAACGGCAGCACAGUAAGAGCUUGCUCUUACGGGUGGCGAGUGGCGGACGGGUGAGGAAUACAUCGGAAUCUACUUUUUCGUGGGGGAUAACGUAGGGAAACUUACGCUAAUACCGCAUACGACCUACGGGUGAAAGCAGGGGAUCUUCGGACCUUGCGCGAUUGAAUGAGCCGAUGUCGGAUUAGCUAGUUGGCGGGGUAAAGGCCCACCAAGGCGACGAUCCUUAGCUGGUCUGAGAGGAUGAUCAGCCACACGGGAACGAGGACACGGUCCAAACUCCUAGGGGAGGCGGCAGUGGGGAAUAUUGGACAAUGGGCGCAAGCCUGAUCCAGCCAUACCGCGUGGGUGAAGAAGGCCUUCGGGUUGUAAAGCCCUUUUGUUGGGAAAGAAAAGCAGCAGGUUAAUACCCCGCUGUUCUGACGGUACCCAAAGAAUAAGCACCGGCUAACUUCGUG